rnacentral:tRNA from 1 species
GGGGGUAUAGCUCAGUUGGAUAGAGCAACGGCCUUCUAAGCUGUUUAAUUAGAAUCUCUGAAACCCGCGUCA